GUGCUUGCAUUCGUUUGCUUCCGUGCAUUCAUCGUCGGCGCGUGCUGGGACGUUCGGUUUGCCCUUCUGAAGGUUAGAGAGUCGGCCAAGUUCGCUUGGUACCGUUUUCUUUCCGGAAGUCGAUGUGCGUUCUGUGCGUAGUCGCGGCCAGGCCCUUGCGCGGUUGGUUGUGUGAAUGCGUGCCGCUUGGCAGUUGGACAUGUCUGACUGUCUUGUGCGUGUGUGUUUGCGUGGCUUUCUGCCUAUGGCUCGCUUCCGGUAUGUGAAAGUUGACCACCUAUCCGACCCGUCUUGAAACACGGACCAAGAAGUCUAGUAUGUACGCGAGUCAUUGGGUGAUUAAAACCUAUUGGCGAAAUUAAUGUGAAGGGCGGCUCGUUCGUCUGAUAUGUGAUCCGUGAGUCUCGGCUUGCGGCGCAACAUAGUCCCAUGCGAAUUGCUUGCAAUCGUGUGGAGAUGGAGCGUACACACUAGGACCCGAAAGAUGGUGAACUAUGCCUGAGCAGGACGAAGUCAGAGGAAACUCUGAUGGAAGUCCGAAGCGGUUCUGACGUGCAAAUCGAUCGUCUGACUUGGGUAUAGGGGCGAAAGACU
rnacentral:rRNA from 1 species